UACAGAGGUGGCAAGCGUUGUUCGGAUUUACUGGGCGUAAGGGCGCGAGUAGGCGGCGUGGUAAGUCACUUGUGAAAUCUCUGAGCUUAACUCAGAACGGCCAAGUGAUACUGCUGUGCUAGAGUGCAGAAGGGGCAAUCGGAAUUCUUGGUGUAGCGGUGAAAUGCGUAGAUAUCAAGAGGAACACCUGAGGUGAAGACGGGUUGCUGGGCUGACACUGACGCUGAGGCGCGAAAGCCAGGGGAGCAAACGGG
rnacentral:rRNA from 1 species